rnacentral:rRNA from 1 species
AGAGUUUGAUCAUGGCUCAGAAUGAACGUUGGCGGCGUGGAUUAGGCAUGCAAGUCGUACGCAUAGCUUCGGCUAUGAGUGGCGCAAGGGUGAGUAAUGCGAAGGUAACCAACCCUGGUGUUGGGCAUAGCCGCGGGAAACUGCGGGUAAUUCCCAGCGACGUCACGAGAUGGCAUCAUCUUGUGACCAAAGGUGUGAUUCCGCUCUAGGGCGGGCCUUCGUGGUAUUAGGUAGUUGGUGAGGUAACGGCUCACCAAGCCGACGAUGCCUACCGGGUGUGAGAGCAUGACCCGGCACACUGGAACUGAGACACUGUCCAGACACCUACGGGUGGCUGCAGUCGAGAAUCUUCGGCAAUGGGCGAAAGCCUGACCGAGCGACGCCGCGUGAGGGAUUGAAGGCCUUCGGGUUGUAAACCUCUUUCGUAGAGGAGGAAGGGGCCGUGAAGAACGGUCUUUGACCUAUUCUAGGAAGAAGCUUGGGCUAAGUUCGUG